rnacentral:rRNA from 1 species
UACGUAGGGGGCAAGCGUUGUCCGGAAUCAUUGGGCGUAAAGAGCGUGUAGGCGGCUUCGUCAGUCCGUUGUGAAAGUCCAGGGCUCAACCCUGGAAUGCCGAUGGAUACUGCGGAGCUAGAGUACGGAAGAGGCGAGUGGAAUUCCUGGUGUAGCGGUGAAAUGCGCAGAUAUCAGGAGGAACACCUAUGGCGAAGGCAGCUCGCUGGGACGUUACUGACGCUGAGACGCGAAAGCGUGGGGAGCAAACAGG